GGCGCCCUGAAUUCCAUGCCGGGUCAUUACAGAGCCAGUGGCGGAGACUCUAUGAGACCCAGCCCCACUGGCUGCAGCCCCUUCGGAUGCAUCUGCGAGAGCAGCCUGGCCGUCACCCGCCGGCCUGGCCCGUGCUGUCAGCCGGCCAGAGCGUGUCUGAAUCGAGGAAAGCUGACUGGGGCUCGAUUCACACUGACUCGAGCCGCAAGAUCUGAGCAUCAUUACGAGCUGCCAUGGAGGCCCUUCACUACCUUAAACUUCACAACAAGCCUAUGAGGGAUAUCACUUGACCUCUCUGAGCCUGCUUCCUCCUGGAGACAACAGUGUAUACUCAGGGCUAUUGCGGGGAAUGACAAGGAAAAUGGAUGAAAAUGUGCUGGAGAAAUUCUGAGGCAUCAGUCAGAUGAAAGGUUGUUUACCAUCACCUUGGAAGCUGUGCUUGCUCUGUCCCCAGGUUCACUUUCUGCCCUGUUCUGGGCCCUCCAGGGGCCUUCCCUAUGAAGUGUGUCUCCCAGGCUCUCCCACCCUCUGGCUUCCAGUCCAGGCCAGCUAAUAUGUGGCACCAGCAAGGAAUCAAGGGCAGGAAAAGAGAGAGGUUGGGAAUGUGCCUCCCAUCUCCUCUCUGACUCACUGCAUUCAGGCACUGGCUGAGCUAUUCUAUGGCCACAGCUCUGUCCAGCGGCCCCUCCUCUGUCCUUCCUUCCCUUGCCCCUUCAGGCCUAAGAGCGGCCACAGCUUCCUUCUCCCUGUUGCUAAAGUCCAGAUGCUUCAGCAUCUUGUAUUCUUUCUCUUAGCCCUACCUCUCCCUCUCAAAUCAGAGCCUGUUUGGCGAAGACUUUUCAGGUGUGCCGACUGCCCCAAGCUGACCCAGUGCGGAUCCUAACUGGCCCCACCAGCAUCUUCCAUGCUCACCCAGCUGGCCCAUGUCUUGAAGAUGCCCUGGGCUCCCAGCUCUGCCACCCCAGCUUUCUGAGUCUCCAUGGAUCGGGAUCACUGGGGACCCAGCAGGAAGAAGUUGGAGAAGAUAGGAAGGCAGGACGGGACUGGAAUGAUUCUAGGAUGACCACCCCACUGGCCCCUGCAGCAGAAGGAGCCUCAGCCUGGGCCCUGUCUCUGCCAACGCCCCCUCCUGGCAGAAUGGGCAGCCUAUCUGGGUAAAGACCUGCCCAGACCCCACAGCCAAGGGCAGCCCCUCAGAGAUUCAGGCCAGGAGCGGCCUUUGUUCCCCACACCUGGAGCUCAGAGCUUGCUUAGCCUGCGGUGGAAGCUCUGGUUUAAUUAAGGAUCUUAGGAGAGAAUUCUCUCUUGUUAUUUUCUGAAUAAAUUAAGGAAGUAACU
rnacentral:lncRNA from 10 species